rnacentral:lncRNA from 1 species
GUAGUGAGAUAUAUUAUGAUCUCUAUCACAAGAUCAUCGAAACUCUUUUCGAUGGAUUGGAAUAUUUUCAAUUCUACUCUUCGAGGGCCAUCGAUCAUUAAGACGAUGCCCGAUGAGUCUUACAAUCUACUAGUGACACCUAGCAAGAUGUAGUGACAAUCUAGUAAAAUAAAAGUAUGAAUCCUUAGGUACAGUUAUCGUAUG